rnacentral:lncRNA from 1 species
UGUCGGUAGAAUUGUGAGAUAUUUCUGUUGUAUCAAGUCCUAUCAAAGGCUUGCCGACGUAAACUGUAAUUUCAAAACGUACGUGGUACGUACACAAUUCUUCAGCGCAUCCAUUUUGGAUGUAAAAAAACUCAUAAAUCAGAGCUCCACGAAAAGCCAUUUGCAUCUGUCUGAUGUCAUAGCUAAUUAAUAGAAGAUGUUUUUAUGACUUUGUUAAUGCAUCAGAAAUUGAAUUAUUGAAAAAUGCGUAUAGUAAAUUCUAGAAUUCGAAAUGACGACUUCCAUUGGUUACAGCCUCAUAUAUUUAAAAUUAUACAUUUUGAGACUUUACAAUCAAACCAAUACAUUCAACUAUUUAAGCAUCUGUCAAUUACUGACGUACAAUGAAAACGUGUUAUCAAAGUUUUAAUGGUUGGUGGGCAUUGUUGUACUGUUAAAUUGAAACAAAUCAUGUUGCUUCCUUUGUAUGCAUCAUUUAGUCGGGUCGUACAUUUAGUUACAGUUUACCAAACGUGUUAUCGUGUUAAGCUCUUCCUAUAUGACACAGUAGUCUCUAAAUGCAAGUUCAGUAAUGUUAAACCGUGUUCCAUUUCCCUUACUAUUCUUGAAACCGAAAGUCAGAUAUAUUCAUUUAAUCGUAUUCUAUUCC